AUUGAACGCUGGCGGAAUGCUUUACACAUGCAAGUCGAACGGUAGAGGGGGCAACCCCUCGAGAGUGGCGAACGGGUGAGUAAUAUAUCGGAACGUGCCCAGUCGUGGGGGAUAACGUAGCGAAAGUUACGCUAAUACCGCAUACGAUCUAAGGAUGAAAGCGGGGGAUCGCAAGACCUCGCGCGAGUGGAGCGGCCGAUAUCAGAUUAGGUAGUUGGUGGGGUAAAGGCCCACCAAGCCAACGAUCUGUAGCUGGUCUGAGAGGACGACCAGCCACACUGGAACUGAGACACGGUCCAGACUCCUACGGGAGGCAGCAGUGGGGAAUUUUGGACAAUGGGCGCAAGUCUGAUCCAGCCAUUCCGCGUGCAGGAUGAAGGCCCUCGGGUUGUAAACUGCUUUUGUACGGAACGAAAAGGUCUCUCUUAAUACGGGGGACUCAUGACGGUACCGUAAGAAUAAGCACCGGCUAACUACGUGCCAGCCGCCGCCGUAA
rnacentral:rRNA from 1 species